GCUGAAAGCAUCUAAGCGUGAAGCCCCCCUCAAGAUGAGAUUUCCCAUUUCUUCGGAAAGUAAGAUCCCUGAAAGAUGAUCAGGUAGAUAGGUUUGGAGUGGAAGUGUAGCGAUACAUGGAGCGGACAAAUACUAAUCGAUCGAGGACUUAACCAAAA
rnacentral:rRNA from 1 species